rnacentral:rRNA from 1 species
CCUACGGGGUGCAGCAGUGGGGAAUAUUGCACAAUGGGGGAAACCCUGAUGCAGCGACGCCGCGUGAGUGAAGAAGUAAUUCGUUACGUAAAGCUCUAUCAGCAGGGAAGCAACACUGACCUUACGGUCAGCAGACGGUACCUGAGUAAGAAGCGCCGGCUAACUACGUGCCAGCAGCCGCGGUAAUACGUAGGGGGCAAGCGUGAUCCGGAUUUACUGGGGGUAAAGGGAGCGCAGACGGCAGUGCAAGUCUGGAGUGAAAGCCCGGGGCCCAACCCCGGAACUGCUCGGGAAACUGUGCGGCUAGAGUACUGGAGGGGCAGGCGGAAUGCCUAGUGUAGCGGUGAAAUGCGUAGAUAUUAGGAGGAACACCAGUGGCGAAGGCGGCCUGCUGGACAGUAACUGACGUUGAGGCUCGAAAGCGUGGGGAGCAAACAGGAUUAGAUACCCCUGUAGUC